AAAUCAUGUUGAGAGCAACUUCUUAACAAACACUUGUAUCUCUCCCAAGCUUCAUACAAUGACUCUCCCGCCUCUUGCUGGAAAUUAGCUAAUCUUCUUUUUGAGCUU